UUCUAGGGGAGGAAUGGCCGCGCAUUGCUCUUCUCUCGCGCCAUGAACGUCGCUACCGGGGCCAAGGAGGACAGGCAGCUCAUGACCGGCCACACGGUGGCCGAUAUCCAUUGCCAUGAUUGCCUCGAGGUGCUUGGAUGGAAAUACGAGAGAGCCUAUGAAGAAUCCUACAAGUACAAGGAAGGAAAGUUCAUAUUUAAAAAGGCCAAGAUCGUGCACGAGAAUUGCUAG
rnacentral:rRNA from 1 species